rnacentral:rRNA from 1 species
GACGAACGCUGGCGGCGUGCUUAACACAUGCAAGUCGAACGGAAAGGCCCUGCUUUUGUGGGGUGCUCGAGUGGCGAACGGGUGAGUAACACGUGAGUAACCUGCCCUUGACUUUGGGAUAACUUCAGGAAACUGGGGCUAAUACCGGAUAGGAGCUCCUGCUGCGUGGUGGGGGUUGGAAAGUUUCGGCGGUUGGGGAUGGACUCGCGGCUUAUCAGCUUGUUGGUGGGGGAGUGGCUGACCAAGGCUUUGACGGGUAGCCGGCCUGAGAGGGUGACCGGCCACAUUGGGACUGAGAUACGGCCCAGACUCCUACGGGAGGCAGCAGUGGGGAAUAUUGCACAAUGGGCGGAAGCCUGAUGCAGCAACGCCGCGUGCGGGAUGACGGCCUUCGGGUUGUAAACCGCUUUCGCCUGUGACGAAGCGUGAGUGACGGUAAUGGGUAAAGAAGCACCGGCUAACUACGUG